UUUCGUUUGCUUUUGCUUGAU
ensembl:piRNA 21ur-4271 ncRNA